rnacentral:misc_RNA from 1 species
AACGCACAUUGCGCCCGCCAGUAUUCUGGCGGGCAUGCCUGUUCGAGCGUCAUUUCAACCAUCAAGCCCCAGGCUUGUGUUGGAGCCCUGCGGCUGCUCGCAGCCUCCUAAAAUCAGUGGCGGGCUCGCUAUCACACCGAGUGCAGUAGUUUUCUCUUCGCUCUGGACGUGUAGCGGGUUCCGGCCGUGAAACCCCUCAAAUUUUUAAGGUUGACCUCGGAUCAGGUAGGAAUACCCGCUGAACUUAA